rnacentral:rRNA from 1 species
GAGAGUUAAACAGUACGUGAAAUUGUUGAAAGGGAAACGAUUGAAGUCAGUCAUACUAACGGGAAAUCAACCUCUUGAGUUUGGUCUCGUGGGUUUCGAAGAGUUUAAAUGCCUUCGGAUUUUCGAGAUUGGGUUCUUCUGGUGUACUUUCUCGUACGGUUAGUCAAUAUCGGUUUUGAAUGUCAUAAAAUGACUGGAGGAAUGUGGCUUCGAUCUCGUAUUGAAGUGUUAUAGCCUUUGGUAGAUGUGAUGUUCGAGACCGAGGAUUGUGCAACGGAUACCCUUCUGGGCUAUUCGUCUGAUCUCUGAAACGUUGCCUUGAUGUCGAAAGCUUGCUUAUGAUGUUAGGGUAUUACGGUCAAAAGGUUAGAACGGAUUAAAUUCGUUAAGGAUGUUGACGUAAUGACUUUAAACGA